GACACUUUGGUGCUUAAAUUUUAAUUUAUUAUAAUUUAUCGCUAAAAUUUUUAAAUUGUUACAAUCAAAUUCUAUAACAUAAUUUAGUUGAUUAAAUAUUAAUAUAUUAUUAAUAAAAAAAUUAAAUACUAAUACUAUAAUUGAUAAUGCGCUAAUAAUUAAGAUUUAUAUUACUUUUACAUUCUUGAUUCGUUAAUAUUAAAUUGAUAUUAUGAAACUUAGUUAUAAUA
rnacentral:lncRNA from 1 species